AUUGAGCUAAGAACAGCCCAGUAACUAAGGUAUAACACAAACCACUACUGCUACCACCAAUAAUAAUAACGAUAAGGGAAAUAACAAGGGAAGAGAAUAUAUCUGCUCACUGCCCACCAACUGAUACCCAGCCUGACCUGAGCAGUGACCUAACCCUUCUGGGUAAUUGCCCCCAGUUUAUAUACUGGGCAUGAUGUGCUGUGGUAUGGAAUACCUCUUUGGUUAGCCUGGGUCAGGUGUCCUGUCUCUGCUUACUCCUGGCUUCCCCUCCUUCCUGACAGAGCAUGAGACUCGGAAAUGUCCUUGGUCAGACCAAACCUUCUUGAGCAACAACUAAAAACAUCGGUGUUAUCAGCGCUGUUCCCAGACUGAAAGUCAAACCCACAGCACUGCACCAGCUACUAAGAAGGAGAAAAAUGACUGCUACUGCUGAACCCAGGACACAAGGCAACCCAGAUGGAUAGCUUGCCACUCGAGAUGUCUGGAAAGAUGCAGCAAGGAAGACUUUCUCCCCCAGACAUAGUUCUUUUCCUCUGCUCCAUCCACUGA
rnacentral:lncRNA from 1 species